rnacentral:rRNA from 1 species
UGCCAGCCGCCGCGGUAAUACGGAGGGUGCAAGUGUUGUUCGGAAUUACUGGGCGUAAAGCGCACGUAGGCGGAUUGUUAAGUUAGGGGUGAAAUCCCAGGGCUCAACCCUGGAACUGCCUCUGAUACUGGCGAACUUGAGUACGGGAGAGGAAAGUGGAAUUCCGAGUGUAGGGGUGAAAUCCGUAGAUAUUCGGAGGAACACCAGUGGCGAAGGCGGCUUUCUGGACCGAUACUGACGCUGAGACGCGAAAGCGUGGGGAGCAAACAGGAUUAGAUA